rnacentral:rRNA from 1 species
GAUGAACGCUAGCGGUAGGCUUAACACAUGCAAGUCGAGGGGUAUAGGUUUUCGGACCUAGAGACCGGCGCACGGGUGCGUAACGCGUAUGCAAUCUACCUUUCACAGAGGGGUAGCCCAGAGAAAUUUGGAUUAAUACCUCAUAGUAUUAUGAAGUGGCAUCAUUUUGUAAUUAAAGUUCCAACGGUGAAAGAUGAGCAUGCGUCCCAUUAGCUAGAUGGUAAGGUAACGGCUUACCAUGGCGACGAUGGGUAGGGGUCCUGAGAGGGAGAUCCCCCACACUGGUACUGAGACACGGACCAGACUCCUACGGGAGGCAGCAGUGAGGAAUAUUGGUCAAUGGACGCAAGUCUGAACCGGCCAUGCCGCGUGCAGGAUGACGGUCCUAUGGAUUGUAAACUGCUUUUGUACGAGAAGAAACACUCCUUCGUGAAGGAGCUUGACGGUAUCGUAAGAAUAAGGAUCGGCUAACUCCGUGCCAGCCGCCGCAGUAACAC